AUGCCGCGGCGAAUACGUUCCCGGGUCUUGUACACACCGCCCGUCACACCACGAGAGUUUGCAACACCCGAAGUCGGUGAGGUAACCGCAAGGAGCCAGCCGCCGAAGGUGGGGCAGAUGAUUGGGGUGAAGUCGUAACAAGGUAUCCGUACCGGAAGGUGCGGAUGGAUCACCUCCUUUCU
rnacentral:rRNA from 1 species